AAGAAAGAGAAGCAGUUGUGUGGGACAAGCUGACAGCAGCAGAACUGCACUGAAAGUCAAGUGAAGAGAGGAUAAAGAUCCAACACACUUUCUCUGGCAACUCUUGAGUUCUACAUCAAUUACUAUUUGUCCAGCUGGCUUCAACAUUGACCUUCCUUUGUAUUUAGGAACAAACAGUUGAGUUUGUUUCCUGGAUCUGCAUCUCUGUCCCCAGAUCCCCAUACAUCAAUGGAGACCACAGCUUUCUCUCCUGAGGGAGGCAGGCAGCCAGAUACAGGCAGGAUGGGCUGUCUAAAGAAUGAAGAAAUGAAAACAACCCAAAGGAGGUCAUGUCCUGUUGGAAGCAAAACAAGCACAGAAGGUAGAGGGCUCACUCUGGUGCAGGCACCGUGAUAUGGGGCUGUGGAGAGCCGUGCCUCGAGCAAUCGUGUGCGUGCCGUGAGCAAUCGCCAUUAUAAGAUGGCGCUGGCUUCCACUGCACCUAACUAGUAAACAAGCCUUAUGCGCAAGUGCAAGAGUGAAGUCACGCCUAGUCACUCGCCCAUCUCGAGGCGUAGUAAUGGGGUGAUGGGCGAGCAACGAAUCAGGAGCUGUCACGUCACAUCAGGUGCUGAAACAUCACCCUGCGGGCUAUAUAAGCAGCGCCAUUUUCCCGGUUCGGAGUCUUCCAUCCUGAUAAGUAAGCAAUAAAAGCUUUGCCGC
rnacentral:lncRNA from 1 species